GGACCUUUAACUCAGCGGAAGAGUGCCUGCCUUACAAGCAGGAAGCCCCAGGUUCGAACCCUGGAAGGUCUA
rnacentral:tRNA from 1 species